AGAUCUGGAAUAUGUAGACAAUAUCGUGAUGUUUUUAAGCUGUAUGAAUAUUAGAAAUUGCAGGGACUCGGAUCUCGACUCUGACUUACGCCGCGAGAUGUCGCCAAACCCCCACUACUACAAUCUUCCUACGCUUAUUCAUAUAAAGUGACGCUGAGAAGAUCUACCAAAUUCCGUAGUACGAGUGCAGAAGUUGGGGGAUCGACUUCGUCUCUGCGGUAAGUCCGAGCCGAAAUUCAAGUCCGUUGCGACGAUUCUUAUCACGAAUAGCGGCUGGCUUGAAUUAUCGUAACAUGUAUUUGUUUACUGUGCGGCUGUACGACAUUCACAGUGUUCGGAUUCUUCUGACUAAAGUUGUUUUCAUCCACUUUUUCGUUUGCGUUUUUGUGAUAUAGUGCAGUGUAGUGAUUAAAUACGGUGAUUAAGUGAUAUUAUUGGGAGCUUGUCGCGAUGCAUGACCAAACUGGAGCCUGUCCUUCUGUAUUGGGGUCUUACAGGGAUGACUGAGCGCCGCUACAACUGUUUAUUAUGCAUCAAUAGAAAUGUCUGCGUCGACAAAGGGUGAACAACGAUGAAUUGUUUGUGUUCUUUGAAUUUUGGCAAGACCGCAACAGCAUCUGUUUGAACGACGAGGACUUCGAAGAGAUUCGAGGUGAAUAA